GUGGGGAAUAUUGGGCAAUGGGCGAAAGCCUGACCCAGCAACGCCGCGUGAAGGAAGAAGGUCUUCGGAUCGUAAACUUCUAUCCUUGGUGAAGAUAAUGACGGUAGCCGAGAAGGAAGCCCCGGCUAACUACGUGCCAGCAGCCGCGGUAAUACGUAGGGGGCAUGCGUUGUCCGGAAUGAUUGGGCGUAAAGGGCGCGUAGGCGGCCUGGUAAGUCUGGAGUGAAAGUCCUGCUUUUAAGGUGGGAAUUGCUUUGGAUACUGUCGGGCUUGAGUGCAGGAGAGGUAAGUGGAAUUCCCGGUGUAGCGGUGAAAUGCGUAGAGAUCGGGAGGAACACCAGUGGCGAAGGCGACUUACUGGACUGUAACUGACGCUGAGGCGCGAAAGUGUGGGGAGCAAACAGGAUUAGAAACCCUAGUAGUCC
rnacentral:rRNA from 1 species